UCCUCCGAGUAGCAAUGAGUUAAAGGGCCAGAUAAAAGUGUCAUCGAGCUACUGUUAGUAGACCGCUGCCCCCGAAUCCCAGAGAUCUGGGUUCAAUCCAACAGGUUCUCCGACCCCAUGAGUAUUCGCCCACAUCCCAAAAUAUACAGGUUGGAAGGUUAAUUGGCCAUUGUGAGGUAACCCCUGGUGUAUAGGCAACUAGUAGAAUUGUGGUGGGGGGGGAAUCACAUCUAUGUGGGGAGAAUAAAAACUGCAACUGGAUCUUCAACUUCCUCAUCAGAAGACCACAAUCUGUGCGGAUUGGGAAGAAACAUCUCUAACUGGUGAUAAUCUACACUGGUGCACCUCAGGGAUAUAUGCUAUGCCCUUUGCUCUACUCUCUCUACACCCAUGAUGGAGCUGUAAAGAAGGGAAGACGGUGGCUAUAUUUCAUUAGGAGUUUGAGGAGAAUUGGUAUAUUACUAAAAACAUUCACACAAAUUUCUACAGAUUUCUACAUGGAGAGCUUUCUAACUGGCUGCAUCAUUGUUUGGUUUGGGGAGGGGAAGGGGCCUGCACAGGAUCACAGAUCAAAGUAAGCUGCAGAAAGUUGUAAAAUCAGUCAGCUCCAUCAUCGGCACUGGCCUCCACAGUUUCCAGGACAUCUUCAAGGAGCAGUGCUUGAAUGGCUUCAAUGGUGUGUCUAUCACCCCAUCACCCAGGAUAUGCCCUGUCCUCAUUGCUACCUUCAGGAAGGAGGUAGAGAAGCCUGAAGGCUCACACUCAGAAAAUCAGAAACAGCUUCUUCCCCUCUGCCAUCUGAUUUCUGAAUGAACUAUCAACUACCACAUUACUUUUUUAUUUCUAUUUUUGCACUACUUAUUUAACUAACACACAUACAAUGUGUUAUUUAAUACACAUAAUUACUUGGCGUAAUUCACUAUUUUUUCUCUAUAUGUAUUGCAUUGUACUGCUGGCGCAAAGUUAACAAACUACACAACGCAUGCCGGUGAUAUCAAACCUGAUCCUGAUUCUAAUGGGGUUAGUGGAAAUGGGUGGCUGAUGGUCAUCAGGGACUUGGUGGGAUGAAGGGCCUGUUUUCAUUCUAUGACUGUAAAAUCUGUUUUCUGCUUGUGCUUGAAAAUUUAAUUUUGAGGUAAAAGUCCAGUGAUCUUCUCCCAAAGUAACAGGCAGGGUAUCUUUAAUGUGCCGGAGGGUGAAGUGGCACUGCAUAUCCCAGCUGACAGGCUGCGAUGACAAUACACUCCCCACUACAUUGUCAGCCUUUUAUUGUGCCUCGAGUCCACCACCUUUUGACUUUGGGAGGGACUGCCUCCUUUGAUGCACUCUUCGGCAGGCAGAUGUCACACGCAAAGCAGCACCUCAAUCUGCUGCCCCUCAUCUUCAUCUGCUCACUUGUGAGGAGGGGUGAACGGGGACCUCUAGGGCAGAGCUGCUGGGGUUUGGACAAGUGGGCUCUCACUAAAUACUCCUAUCCAAACAACACCCGGAUACCUAGUCACUACCUGACUCCUGCUCCUGGGGUUCCAUUUCUGUUACUUUUCAACCCCUGCAUCACAAUGGUGUCACAAUUAAUAGAUUUAAUCCCACAACUUUUAAAACCAGCAAUUGGAUUGCUAAAGCUAAAUGACUAAAUGAAGGUAAAUGAGGCUAGUACAGGUAACAACAAUGGUCAGUGUGUUUGCAGUGGGCUAAAGGGCCUGUUUCUGUGAUGUUUCAUGAACUCACACACUCCAGCAUCACUGGAGAUCCAGGGCUUUUUCUUGCCAGACAUCCAAAGCAAGACAGACAGCCCACCACAGAUCCACACAGUACCAGCACACACAUGGAGGCAACAACUAAAACUCAGCGAAAGGAAUCCGAGGGCCUGGACAAUUUCUACAGAGAUCAGACCAGGGUUGAGAUGACACACAUCUUUGAAGGUUACGGAUACCUGGGCCCCAUCACUAGAUAAGGUCGAAGGAUUACUUGAUAAAGCCCUUUCAGAUCGUGUCACGGGGAGGGAGAUGAUCCAACAACUUUGGCCUCUGAGAAAUUUAUCUUUCGAGAGAGAUUGCCGUGUUCACCACACAAGGACUAGUCUAAAGAACAGCAGCAUUGAAGAGGAAGACUCCCCCCACGACACGGGAAGAUCUUUCUCAGAGGACACUGGCAUUUGAAAAUCCAGCCUGGCAGAUACUAGAAAUCUGAAUCACAACCAGAGGCAACACUCAGCAAGCCGGGGCGGCAUGUUUGGAAAGAUGAUGCUGCUCGAUCUGUUGAGUGUUUCCAGCAUCAUCUGCACUUGAAGUUUCGUUUCUUAUUUCCGUCGGCUUACGCACCAUGGAGCACCUUUCCGUUUCCAGGCACCCUGGGGGUAUAAACGAUAGCACGUGCAGAGAGUUUGCUCUCCUUCCUUACUGCACCCACGGGGCCCAAACAAGCUGAAUGCACGCCCAGCACUGAAGGACCACUGAGAAAGAGCAUUGCAGACAUAUGGGGAGCAGCCCCCCACCCACCAAACCAGGGUUUGUUUAGAAUUUCAGAUGCUGAUGAGGAGCUGUACAGAAGUGAGACAGAUCAACUGGUUGAGUGGUGUCGAAACAACAACCUGGCACUCAACUUCAGUAAUACUAAGGAAUUGAUUGUGGGCUUCAGGAAUGGGAAGUGGAGGAAACAUACAACAGUCCUCAUCAAGGAAUCAACAGUGGAAAGGCCCAAGAGAAGCCUUUGAAGAUUACACAUCAUUGAAGUGUUUGAAGGGCAACAAUUAAUUUUGCACAACAAAGUCCCACGGACACCACAGAAACCACCCUUUGGUUGGAGUUUGGCUGAGGAAUAAAGACUGGUCAGGAUUCUUUUGAAGACCCUGGCCUGGAGUUACACGAUGACUUCGGUUCUUUGCGGGAGUGGGACUUACUCUCAAGGUUUCACAACUGGACACUUUUCGAUAUACCAAGGACGCAGCCUACAAGACUAGUACGCUUUCAGGGUUCCGAGAUUUCGUGGCUCUGGAGGCGGCUGGACUCGAGGUCGGUGCCUCCGCAGGAAACUGGCGUGUCAUGGGAGUACAGGGAAGAUCGAAAGCAGCGAGUUGGCUGCUGGCUGUGUGCCCAGAGACCUGAGUUCUUCAGGCUCAGAGCUCAGAAAAGGCGAUGCGACAGACUUUUAACAUCAUAAAUCAGCGAGUUGUUUGUUAUGUCUCCUCUCUCGCUGUGAAACAGGGACACCUCUUUUUCCCUUAUUAGGGAGAGAGAGAACCUGUGAUAUGUCAAAUACCAGGUGAAUGAGUAGUCUUUGGGGUACUGCAAGUCUGUGUCUUUAUUGAUGCUUUGCUGCACGCUUGAGUGCUUGGUGCUCAAAUCGUUUUUUUUGCUGGUGGGGGAGAGGGGAUUGUUGCUUUGCUGCUGCUUAUGCAUGGGAGGGAGGAGUUGGGGGGGCUUUGGGGUUCUAACAUCUAACUGUCAUUCAUUCUUUGGGGCACUCCUCUGUUUUCGUGGAUGGUUGUGAAGAAAAAGAAUUUCUGGAUGUAUAUUGUAUACAUUCCUCUGACAUUAACUGUACCUUUGAAACCUCCCAAGACAGAAGCCCCAAUUAUCUUGAAAGAGAGGGGUGAGGGACCAUGAAAGUAUCAACAAGUUCCCCUUCUAAUGUGACGUCAGUGCUGCUGGGAAGAUGUAGUCAUUCUGGCGAUUGUUCAGUCAAGAGUCAACGAGCAGCUGGGUGAUGGGGAGCUGCACACUUCUGGCCUCACCAUCAUAUGUGUUCAUAUUGCGAAAGGGGGACAGAGAUGGGCUUGUCGAGGGAUCAACAAAGUAUCUAUCGAUCUAUCUACCUACAGAAAGCAGCAACAACGAGACUACAGAAGAGAUAAUGAUGAGAAAAUCAGUCCUUUAGCCGUUUUGAUAUUGGUCAGGAUACACAAGAACAACACUGUUCCUGCAUAUAAUGCUGCUAAACUACAUUCGGAGUUCUUCAACCUUUUCACUGACUUGACAGGUAGAGUUAGAGUACAUUCCUAAAUGGGCCAAGUCACACCACCUUUCAGCCGCUAUUUCUGGGAUGCUUCUUGGAAUUUAAAAGCUACAGGAUGAAGAUUAGGGCAGUUUCUUGUUGGGACAAGCUGCCUGUUCAGUCAGAUACAGCUAGCAGGAGAGUCAAAUUGCCCAAAGCAACAAAAUGCAUGCACAAGAUUUUUUUGUCUUUUUACAUGUUUGAAAGUUUGUUUUGGAAUUGCUUGGUUAUGGAGGCAAAGAAUAGGGCAGUAGCAAUGUGGAAUAUUUCAAGUACUUGGGCAAUAGUCACCAACCACUUUUAAGGCAGGUCUUGAUAUCCCAGAGAUUAGCUGCUUUUGGAGAGAUUUAAGGGAUUGAGAGUGUUGCAAAGAAAACAGCAAAUCAGCAGUGGUUUCACACAUAGUUAACUUAUAACUGAGAGGCCUAGAUAAACAAUUCAAAAGCAUUAUUUUAAAUCACUGUCUGGCAGUCAUGGAUGUUAAUUUCAGUUCAUAAUCAGGAAUUUUUAAAACAUUUGUAAUCUGAUCGUUAGUAAUGAUGACCAUCAAAAUAACAAAUUGUGGUAAAAACCUGUCCGGUUCACCUGUGCCUCAGGGAUGAAAAGUAUGCCAUUAAUCCACAAUACAAAAAUUGAAUAAAGAUUGGAAACACUCAGCUGGCUCUGAUGACGGCGUUCCUUCUCAACAGAUGCGGUCCUGUUGACCGAUUCCAGCACCUUAUGUUUUUGAUUCAGAUUUCCAGCAUCUGCAGCUUUUAGAUUCCCAUUGUUACGUGGUCUGGCCUAUGUAUAGCCUAUGUGCAGCUGACUCUGGCGUGACUUAGUGAGCAGUUCAAUGGAAUAUAAUAGCAGAAAAGCGAUACAACAGACAGAAUACUCAGCACUUCAAUCACAACAAAGACACUGUUAGUGCAAUCAAACUUUCAAAGUUCUCUUCAGAUGUUGUGCGUAAUUUACGAGAGCUGUCACCUGAAUUACCUGACACCUGAAUUACUCACGCAACAACU